GACGAACCGUGCGAACGUUGUUCGGAAUCACUGGGCUUAAAGGGCGCGUAGGCGGGCUUGCAAGUCUGCGGUGAAAGCCUCCAGCUCAACUGGAGAAGUGCCGUGGAUACUGCGGGCCUCGAGGAGGGUAGGGGCAUCUGGAACGUUGGGUGGAGCGGUGAAAUGCGUAGAGAUCGGAAAGAACACCAACGGCGAAAGCAACUCUGCUGGGCCGACACUGACACUGAGAGACGAAAGCUAGGGGAGCGAAUGGG
rnacentral:rRNA from 1 species